AAAGAUAACACAUAAUGUCCUGAACGUGCCCAAUCUCAUCAGAUCUCGGAAGCAAAGCAGGGUCGGGCCUGGUUAGUACUUGGAUGGGAGAUAACACAUAAUGACCAAGUAGAGUCCAUC
rnacentral:rRNA from 1 species